AAGAUUGUUUAGCAAGUGGUAAAGCUUAGAUGGUGAUGGCCCACCUCCCAAAUGUUGUGUCACCUUGAACUCUAAAGAAGGAAAACUAAGUUCAAGCACGUGGUAGAAAGGAGAACCAAACCUGUUUUCUGACUCUACAUGUUACGUUUUCUUCAAUACACCGAGAUCUAAGAUGAACAAGAAGGCAGCAAGACACAGGGGAUGUAGGGCUGUAGACCAGAACACCGCAGCUGACUGCAACAUCACAAGCAAUCUGGGAAGGGUAAGAUAAGACAAACAAUUCUGCUUGCUUUUUUAGAUGUUUCGUCUGUGUGUAUCGCUGUGGGGGUAGAGUG